rnacentral:ncRNA from 2 species
CGCCUAACUGCCGGUGACGGUUCCUCGCAAGAGGAUCAAAAGGGAACGCGGUGCGGGCUUCGGCCCAAUGCCGUGGCUGCCCCCGCAACUGUAAGCGGUUAGUUUUUCGUCCAUACGCCACUGGGCCAGCGGUCCUGGGAAGGCGACGAAAAAACGACGAGCCGCGAGCCAGGAGACCUGCCGUCAGCCGUGGUCACGC